CAGUAGACUAAAUUAUUUUUUAUCCAAACUGUUGGUAUUGUACCUUCUUCUUCUUGUUUGUUUUCCAACCAUAUUGCUCGGCUCCAACUCAUUUUAUUCAAAUAUAGCUAAUAUAAAACAAUGGUUACUCAAGGGAAUUAAGGAUUUAAAUAUUGACUUAACAUGACAAGAUCAAAUACCGGAUUGUAAGACUGUCGAAUGAGGCAUGAAGUUGGCUGAUAGAAAAUCUCAAUCUUUUUCCAGCUCUUUGCAAUAAUUACAAGUUUAAUAACUAAGUUUUAACCUAAUUUGUAUAUAUACAUAAUACUAGUGGUGUGUGCAGGUCUCUGGUAUAAAGCAAGUAGUGAUCACCAAGUUAAUUUUCUUAUUUUUGUUAUAAUUUUAGUGUAAGAAUUGUAAUUUAUCAAGCAAGCAAGCACUCUAUUUUUUAAUAGAAUUCCACAGGUGCACAAAAUGUAUUGAAGGAACCUUCAAGCAGACAAUACAAUCAUAAGUUUUCAAUCCUCUACGUUUAUUUAUCAGCAUUUUCACUUCUGCAUAGUUAUGAAUGUCUUUCAAGUACUUAAAUGUCACAAUUUUUUGCGAAUCGAUCGAGUUCAGAUAUUUCGCGGGAUUAAAUUUUAGUCAAUAUGCCUUUUUCAUGAAAAGUUGGAUUUUUUAAGUCAAAACAAAUUAAAAGAAUUUACAUGGGCUUUGGAACAAAACAUGCAGCUUUUUAAAUAUGAUGAUUUAUAACUAAGAAUUACUAAAUACUUGAUAUUUAGCUUCAGCUAUAUAUUUUUUUGUCACAAUGUUUUCGAAUAGAUUGCUAUAAAUGCUUGCAUAUGCCAGGCACGCCCUCUUAUAAGGCAGCCUGUUAGCAUGCUCCAACCACCUGUAUGUGUCAAGCAUAACUGGUGCACAUGAAAGCAAAAUAGCAAAAAUUUUAAAUGGUUAUUGAAUCAAAAGUUAUAUCUUCAAAUAGAUUGCUAUAAGUAUGCUUGCAUGUGCCAGGCACGCCCUCUUAUAAGGCAGCCUGUCAGCAUGCUCCAACCACCUGUAUGUGUCAAGCAUAACUGGUGCACAUGAAAGCAAAAUAGCAAAAAUUUUAAAUGGUUAUUGAAUCAAAAGUUAUAUCUUCAAAUAGAUUGCUAUAAGUAUGCUUGCAUGUGCCAGGCACGCCCUCUUAUAAGGCAGCCUGUCAGCAUGCUCCAACCACCUGUAUGUGUCAAGCAUAACUGGUGCACAUGAAAGCAAAAUAGCAAAAAAUUUAAAUGGUUAUUGAAUCAAAAGUUAUAUCUUCAAAUAAAUUAGUAAACGUAUGCUUGCAUAUGCCAGGCAUGCAUUAAUUUCGCAAAUCAGUCAAUGAAAAUUUUUGGGAGACUUAAUUUCUCGAAUGCAAUGCAAAUUCGCAAAAAAUUCUGACAAUAAAUAUAUAUGUAGAAUAAAAUAUAAAUAUUUUAUUGUUUUGUUUUUACAUAGAGUGCUCAAUAAAAAUCGAGCUGAAUAAUAUAUAAAUUAUUAUAAUCUACUGAGUUGAAUAAGCAAUUGAGACAACAAAGGUCUCUCAUGUGGUUUGUUUUUUAACAUGUUUGUUGCAAUCAUCAAAAGCUUUUCUGAUGCAACAUGUUUAGCAAUACUUUCAAAGUUGUAUCCCAAUGUAUAUACAUCUGUUUCACAGGAGACAUAUGAGCCAGAUUCUGCUACGAAUGCUACCGAAGCAAAGUUUACGAAUUAGCAUAUGCUGUACAGAAAUACUUUACUCACGUCUGUGGUUCUUCGCCCUUUUCGCCUUGUGAGUUGAUACGAACUUCUUAGGGGCUUAGGCGCGAAUUUCCUCAUCGAAAGUUUCCCGCCAAUGACUAGGAGGGAUAUUACAUGCGACAAAGUAAAGGUUUAAAUAUGUGAAAGCGAAGUAAAUAAACAGUUAUUAUUGUAUUAUAAAUUAUAAUUUGACAAAAUGGAUUGUAUUUUAAAUGUCUCACAUCCAUAAUACAAGUUGAAAUAUU